rnacentral:rRNA from 1 species
UACGAACUGCGCGAACGUUAUUCGGAAUCACUGGGCUUACAGGGUGCGUAGGCGGCCCAUCAGGUCCGAUGUGAAAUCCCCCGGCUCAACCGGGGAAUGGCAUUGGAAACCGGCGGGCUAGAGUGAGCUAGAGGUGCACGGAACUUCCGGUGGAGCGGUGAAAUGUGUUGAGAUCGGAAGGAACACCAGAGGCGAAGGCGGUGCACUGGGGCUUGUCUGACGCUGAGGCACGAAAGCCAGGGGAGCGAACGGG